CAAGCACCUCCCUACAAAAAAAGAGUUGAAAGGGAAGAACUGGAGUGCACCAUACUCGGAAGCAUGUGUAGCUUUUAGCUUUCUCAGACAAGGAAGAAAACCAAAUGAAAACACCAUAUAAAGUGCUCAAAUUUUAAGCACAGGCAACAAUGGCCAGCAUCUACCCCACAUUUAUCAUGUUUAGAUAUCGCUGAGUUGUUACAUCCUUUGUUCCAACUCCUCUAUAAGCAAUAACCCUUAACAUCCUAAUUUGCCUCUACUUCUUCUAACCUUCUAUUUCCAGUUCUCUCAGAGCAGGAGGAAGCUCCCACAUUCCUGUAUUUCUUUGAAAGGUUAAAUGCAAGUUUUCAGAUACCAAGUGUCACCUACUGACAUCUGCAGUGUAUUCCUCCUGGAACCUUUAUUAUUGCUGCUGUUAUCUCCUAUACAGUAUCACCAGGGUGGUUUUGGUAUGUGUAGUUAACUUAUGACCCCGUUCUUGGACUCCCCUUGCAAACUUGAAGUCAAUCAGCAUAAAAUCCUGAG
rnacentral:lncRNA from 1 species